UACGGAGGAUCCAAGCGUUAUCCGGAAUUACUGGGCGUAAAGAGUUGCGUAGGUGGCAUAGUAAGCGGGUAGUGAAAGCGUGUGGCUCAACCAUACUCACAUUAUCUGAACUGCUAAGCUAGAGGACGAGAGAGGUUACUAGAAUUCCCAGUGUAGGAGUGAAAUCCGCAGAUAUUGGGAGGAAUACCGAUGGCGUAGGCAGGUAACUGGCUCGUUCCUGACACUAAGGCACGAAAGCGUGGGGAGCAAACGGG
rnacentral:rRNA from 1 species